rnacentral:rRNA from 1 species
UACGUAGGGGGCAAGCGUUGUCCGGAUUUAUUGGGCGUAAAGAGCGUGUAGGCGGCCAUGUAGGUCCGUUGUGAAAACUCGAGGCUCAACCUCGAGACGCCGAUGGAAACCAUGUGGCUAGAGUCCGGAAGAGGUGAGUGGAAUUCCCGGUGUAGCGGUGAAAUGCGCAGAUAUCGGGAAGAACACCCGUGGCGAAGGCGGUUCUCUGGGACGGUACUGACGCUGAGACGCGAAAGCGUGGGGAGCGAACAGG